GCUAAUGACUGUUCUCCCAUUAGAGGGGAAUAAAAUACUUCCCAAUGAAGUGUAGGAUUGAUUCUCUCUUCACUGGCAAAAGUUUUGCUGAUUUUAAAAGUGCAAGAUUGGGGCUUAUAGCCAUAUGUUUGAACUCUUGAUAAGAAGCCCAAGAACAUAAAAGCAACAGUAAAGCGCUCUUUUUUUGGGGGGGUCAUUGACUGAACUGUAGAAGUGCUUUCUGAGAGGCUUAGCGGUGUUAUGAACUGGAGACCUUACCGUGUUCUGAGGUGUGCUAAUGGUAAAGCAGGACUGCUCAUAAAGUACUUUGAAGAUAAUGCUAUCUGUAGCACGUGUUGUUAAUAAUUUUCAUCUUACAGCCUUGGUAAUGUCAGCUUUGGCAAAAAAAGACCAUUGGGCGUUAGCAAAUCCCACAAUAUUUGGAGAUUGUAAGGUAAGAAUGUAGAAAUAUAAGGGUAGUUUUAGCUAAAACUGGUGAUAAAAGGGGUGACCUGAUUUAGAAGGCUGGCAGUCCAGCACAAAAAGGAAACCGAAUCCAGAACCUCCAAUGUGAAACCUCUGAAUUUCAGUAUGUGUGCGCUGAGGAUGUGGGUGCAUGCUAUGUGGAUGCCAGAGGGAAGCCUCUUCUCCCAUUACUGUUUCAAGCAUGAGCAGCUUGCAGGUACCGCUUGCAUCACAAAAGCAGCCUCACCUUCACAGCUUGUUCUCCCAGCGUGGAAUCAAAUCUUUUCAGAAUAAGCUGUGAGAUUCUGGUGCUGCUAAACCGCAAUUUUGGCCUAAUUUAGGAGACUAACCGCUCUGCAGGUCAUCCCUGCUUGAAAGUUUUUUUUAAUAUGUUCUUUCUGAACCUUGGUACUGUAUCAGAUUUGAUGGACUUCUUUAUCUUGACUGUUAAAAGGAGUCUCUAAGACUUAAUUAUCCAGGUAUAGUAGAUACCGAGAAGUUAAUAAUAAACUCAGAAAUAUGCUGCUUAACCAGGUGUCCUGCUAAUUAUGUUAACGCUACAUCGGAAAUUGCUUUAACUUAAACAUUGCGGGUUUGUUUUGCCUUUUCCAGUUACCUGUCCACAGUUUCCUUCUUAAGGCUUUCUGCCUUUGCAAGCACCCGAAAGAGCACAUGAGGUUGCCUAAGGAAGCUGCUGUAGAACCGCAGGGCCCAGUCACAAGGUGGGAAGGCUAAAAAAAUCUGCUGCUCAAAACUACCCAAACUCCACAAAAAAGCGCAGAAAGGUAUGAAUCCCAAAAUGACUCUGAUGGAAAUAAGGAAAUAUUGCAAGCCUUGUCCUCAGGCAGCCCCUCCAGUGGUUCCUGGACCUCUUCCGCAGCUGAAAUGAGCAGACUGAGAGCAGGGUGAAGGGCAUCUGCUUGCCAACGCAUUUCAGUGCUUUACUUGGUUGAGGGUUCUCCUUUCACAAUUGGGCAUGAGUGUAUAUUAUUUUUGUUUGGGAAAAGCUUCAGUUGGUGUAAUGUUUAUUCAUUCCCUCAGGCUCCUUCAUUUUGUUGAUGCUAGCCCUGGCAGCUAAAGGGUCAGGCAAAGCUGUCUGGCUGCCACUGGAUCUUGUGUCAGUUGCAUAUCAUUCAUCGGUAUCAACUGAGUAUUUAGCUCCUCAAACAAGAGGGAGAGAAGAGGUAGCUGAAGAGUUUUUCUCAGAAUCACUGUUCUGCAUUUGUGGAUUUGCCUAAAGGGUGGAAAGGGCUGAUGUUAUUGUUUUUAGUUCUAUACGGUAUAUAUGUAUAUUCAACCUCUUUAAUGAAUGAUUUUAUAUUGACAAAAGGAUUUUAGUUGUAGCUUGGCGCGUGAAGAAUUUGUUCCUGAAGCCUUGACUCUCAGUGCUUGGAAUCCGCUUGGAAGUAGAUUUCUAGCAAAUGAGAAAAGUCAUGCUUUAGAGAAAGAGUGGAAAAAUUGGAUUAUAGCAGAUAGUUAACAUAGUGGUGGAGGGCUAGAUCCAAGUACAGCAGUAAAUUUUUUCAAUAUCUGCCCUGGGGUUUAAAUCAAGCCCUAAAAGCAAUGGUGCUGGUUCUUUAACUUCUCGGAAGAAUGUUAUCAGGUGGUUAUUAAACAGCAUUCUGAGAAGAUGUUAAGGUUUAUUGGAUUAAAUUUUUUUCUUUUCCUGAAGCUAGAGGGCAGCUGUUCUCCUAAGGCAUCUGUAUCAUGAUAUCACCUCAGAAUAAACAAAACUGCAGCCUGAGCAUGAAAUAAAGCAAAUGCUAAAACUGAUACUAAAGGUCUGAAUAAGAACAACAGAAGCUCCUUGUGCUAACAUCAUUAGCAGUCACUGGGGUCUUCACUCAUACGUCUCCCUUCCUUCCCUGUCCCCUCUAAGUGCUGCUAUUUCUAUGCCUGGGGUGAGUUCCUGAACCAGAAUUACUGGGAUAUUAGUAAGUUUGGUUUUGCUUGAAAAUGAGCAAUUUGCGUGACUAUGAGGUGGGGAAAGCUCUUGGCACUGUCAGUUCUCCGAGUACUGCUCUUUCCAUAAGAUAAUUUCCAGUGUGAUAGCAACAGUCUCCAGGCCCUUCAGUAAUUUAAGGGAGUUAAUGGGGAAAGUCAGGUGCCUGUUUUAGCCCCAAGGCAAAUGCAAUUCCCAAGACUAAAGUUAACAGGUAGUUGUGUGUGGCUGUGCUUUCGUAUUGACAAUGUUUCUAUUUUAGUGAGCAAUUGCACAGAUUUCUGGCUCUAGGAUUCCUUUGUUAUUUUUAUUGCUUUUGAGAUUAGAGCUGACCAUCAGUUUCCUAAUUUUGAAGAGCUGUCCCUGCAUAGCCUUUUUAUAUCAGAAAAAGGAGCUUCAAGUCCUUGUAAGAUUUCUGAGUCGGGAGGUUCGUGAAAGAGCCGUGUUUGAAUAUUCUGCCACUGAUCCCUGGGCAAACACAUUUAUUUCUGUUUUGCCUUUUGUAGUUCACAGAAGGGAUCUAUAGAAUACAAAUAAGUAGCGUAGAGUAUAUAUUUUGUAUAGUAAAUGGAUUUGGAGCAGGGUUUUACUGUAUAAGAUAUGGCCAUGUGUCUUUACAGAUCUGUAUAAAGAGUUGCUAACAGGUAUGGGGUUUCUUUUCUCUAAUAUGAACUUUAAAUACACUUUUAGAUCUGAAAAAUGCUACGUGAUUCUCUCCCUGCCCCACAAACGUCAAUUCCUUCAGGCAAGAUGUUCUCUGGGGCUUAGGCUUUUGCUAUCUGAUGAACACCAGCAGUACUACGGAAAUGCUCUGGGCCUUCUGGGGGAUUUGGGAAUGUCAUCCUUUGCGCUUAUGAGUAUUUUGACUCACCUAGUGUUACCCAGACUGGCCUUAAUACAAGGUUAAAGGGCUAUUCAAAUGGAAAACGUUACUUGUGUGAAGCCUUAGUCUUGACUGAACAAACUGAAGCAGGAAUCAUCAAGCUGUUUCAGCAUAGAUGUGACUGCUGCUGAACCAGGCUUUUUGCCUGGCCUGGAAGAACCUGAAGCUCAUCUGUUGACACCUGAAGAUGAUUCCUCGACAAAAGUCUGGCUGUCAUUUCCUGAGGCGUUUUCCUCAUGUAGUAGAACAGAGCUACCAUCUGAUUGUGGCUUAGCUUACAAAACAUGCCUGUUCUUCCUUUUGCUUUCCUUUCACUUCUAUGUAUAUAUCUGGCACUACUGGAGGAGAAAAUAUAUUUACUCAGUGGCUUUUCAAAGUAUAAAGCUGUAUGUUUAUAUAAAGAAGCAAAUCAAG